UGAAGCUCAAUGGUAGAGUUCUUGCCUACUAUGCAUGAGGCCCUGGGUUUGAUACCCAGCA
rnacentral:tRNA from 1 species